rnacentral:lncRNA from 1 species
GAAUAUCUAACCAAUCUUUAGCACCAUUUUAGAUUUACUGAUUGCAGAUAGCACUAAAGAUGCUAAAGCGGAUCAACCUAUCAACUACACACUUGCCUUGAACCGUAUGAAGUAACCAAAGCUGAUUUCCAAAACUAAACCUGACAUAACCGCUUGUCUUGGGGCUUGGUAUACAUGGGAUCGGAUUCUUCAGACAUGUCUGGAAGGUAACGCCUGGUUUAGAUUAUUUAUCACAUUUUCUCUCUCUAUAUUUCGACCCUAGAUUAGUUAGUGAGUAUUUAAAAAAAUAAAAAUAAAAAUAAAAUAAAUAAGAUCUAUUGUUUAAUUAGGAUGAGUCUGAACAGGACUUGGUGGCUAAAACCAUUAAGGUUUGAUUCAUAAAGACUCAAAUAAAAGAGUUCGAAACGGGACUUGGAGGCGGCAAUCUUCAAGGCUCGCUUUCGCAAAGAACUCUUGGAUAUAGGUCAAAAAGAAGUGAACAGAACUUGGUGGCAACCACCAUUAAGUUUUGAUUCAUGGAAGCCUGUCCAAUCUUGGUCACUAAUCCUGCAAUGGAAGCAGACUUUGACUCAAGAGAGAAAUUUAGAGAGAGAGAAACUAGGAACUAACUUUUACCUGCAGCUCUAGAUACCUGUCUGAAAUCCUUGCAUCCUGUGAUCG